rnacentral:lncRNA from 1 species
GUGACACUGAAGGCAACCAUGGCAAAAUUCUGUCUGUUGAAGGACCAGAGCACAAAGAAUACAUAUCUGAAUCGAAUGAUUAAGCCUCCUAUCAUUUCAGACCCACUGGGCUGUUUCCAAGUCUGUGAGCUCCAUCAAACACAGCUCCAUGGUGACCUCUACUGUCUGACUGCGAGAAUCCCGUCAAAGACAAAGAGUUUCCAGGAAGCUUCACCAGGAAAUUUUCCUCCCUGUGUGCUAAGAAGUCCCCUUUGCUAAUAGCUGGGUCAAGUCUGAUGAAGCAGGAAGAUGCCCUGCAUGGAAAACUGAGGCCUCUGGAGAUGCCAUCCGUUUGUCUCAAGGGAUAGCUCAAAGGAUGACUGGAACGGAUUUCUGCAAUCCCUGUCCUAUUGCUGGUGUCCAAGUUUCUGUCUCUAUUCACAUGCAGACCUCUGUUUGUUUUCCCAAAACAGGGAUUAGGUUCAGCUUUGGUAGCUUUUCUGAUUUGUUCUCCUCUGGUUUCUCCUAAGGCCGGGCUUACAGAGGGUAUCUUCCUUAUUGAUACUAGAGUGAAUAGCAUUAAUUGGC